rnacentral:rRNA from 1 species
AUGAACGCUGGCGGCGUGCCUAAUACAUGCAAGUCGAACGAGGAUGCUUGUAGCAAUACUAGUAUCCGAGUGGCGAACGGGUGAGUAACGCGUUGGUGGACCUGACCCGCAGUGUGGGAUAACAGCUCGAAAGGGAUUGCUAAUACCGCAUGUGGUCUUCGAGAAGGUUUAGAAGCUUAUCUAAAGCAGCGAUUGCGCUUGGGGAGGGGACCUGCGUCCCAUCAGCUAGUUGGUAAGGUAACGGCUCACCAAGGCGACGACGGGUAGGGGGACCUGAGAGGGUGCCCCCCACAUUGGAACUGAAACACGGGCCAUAACACCUACGGGUGGCAGCAGUAGGGAAUAUUGCAUCAAUGGGCGAAAGCCUGAGCAGGCAACGCCGCGUGUGUGAUGAAGGCCUUCGGGUCGUAAACAGCGCUUUUCUGAGAGAUGAGAGAGGACAGGUAUCUCCAGGAAUAAGGCUCGGCUAACUACGUGCCAGCAGCCGCGGUAAAACGUAGGAGGCAAGCGUUAUCCGAAUUCACUGGGCGUAAAGCGCGUGCAGGCGGUGGCGGUAAGUUGGGCUGUGAAAUCUCCCGGCUCAACUGGGAUAGGGCGGUCCAGACUGACCGUACUUAGAGGCAGGUAGAGGAGAGUGGAAUUCCCGGCGUAGUGGUGAAAUGCGUAGAUAUCGGGAGGAACACCAGUGGCGAAGGCGGAUUUCUGGUCCUGUUACUGACACUCAGACGCGACAGCUAGGGGAGGAACGGGAUUAGAGAACCCCGGUAGUCCUAGCCGUAAACGAUGUGAACUUGGGCGGUGGUGGGGUUAAACGCCAUCAGGUGCCGUAGCAAACGCGAUAAGUUCACCGCCUGGGGACUACGGCCGCAAGGUUAAAACUCAAAGGAAUUGACGGGGGCCCGCACAAGCAGCGGAGCGUGUGGUUUAAUUCGAUGCUACAGCGAAGAACCUUACCCAGGGCUUGACAUGGCAGUGGUAGAGAAGCCGAAAGGUGACUCGACCCUCAGGGAGCCUGACACAGGCUUGCAUGGCUGUCGUCAGCUCGUGUCGUGAGAUGUCGGUUAAGUCCGGCUAACGAGCGCAACCCUCGCCGUAUGUUACAGUGUCACCAAGGGACCUGCCUGGUAUUAAGCCGGAGGAAGGUGGGGAUGACGUCAAGUCAGCAUGGCCUUUAUGCCUAGGGCUACACACACGGCUACAAUGGACAGGUACAAUGGGUUGCUAAGUCGCGAGACUGGAGCCUAAUCCCCAAAAACUGUCCUCAGUUCAGGAUUGGCAGUCUGCAACUCGCCUCAUGAAGCUCGGAAUUGCUAGUAAUCGCGCGUCAGCUAUAGCUGCGGUGAAUACGUUCUCGGGCCUUGUACACACCGCCCGUCACAGUCAUGGGAGUCAGUUGUACACCUGAAGCUGGCUGAGCCUAACCGCAAGGAGGGCAGGCCUCUAAGGAGUGGGCUGGUGACUGGGGCUG